GACGAACGCUGGCGGCGUGCUUAACACAUGCAAGUCGAACUGUGGAUUUAUUUCGGUAAAUCCUUAGUGGCGAACGGGUGAGUAACGCGUGGGCAACCUGCCCUUCAGAUGGGGACAACAUCCCGAAAGGGGUGCUAAUACCGAAUACGAUCGUUUUCCUGCAUGGGGACGCGAUGAAAGAUGGCCUCUAUUUAUACGCGAUCGCUGAAAGAUGGGCAUGCGUCUGAUUAGCUAGUGGGUGGGGUACCGGCCUACCAAGGCGAUGAUCAGUAGCCGGUCGGAGAGGAGGAACGGCCACAUUGGGACUGAGACACGGCCCAAACUCCUACGGGAGGCAGCAGUGGGGAAUAUGCCGCAAUGGACGAAAGUCUGACGGAGCAACGCCGCGUGAGUGAUGAAGCUUUUCGGACUGUAAAGCUCUGUUGUUUAGGACGAAAGUGCCUGUUGCGAACAGUUACAGGUAUAGACGGUACUGAACGAGGAAGCCACGGCUAACUACGUGCCAGCAGCCGCGGUAAAAC
rnacentral:rRNA from 1 species